rnacentral:rRNA from 1 species
UACGGGGGGGGCAAGCGUUGUUCGGAAUUACUGGGCGUAAAGGGCUCGUAGGCGGCCAACUAAGUCAGACGUGAUAUCCCUCGGCUUAACCGGGGAACUGCAUCUGAUACUGGAUGGCUUGAGAUUGGGAGAGGGAUGCGGAAUUCCAGGUGUAGCGGUGAAAUGCGUAGAUAUCUGGAGGAACACCGGUGGCGAAGGCGGCAUCCUGGACCAACACUGACGCUGAGGAGCGAAAGCCAGGGGAGCAAACGGG